AGGGUGUUAGUAGAAAUAUCUACAUUCCAUUUGCAGUGGAAAAAUAAGCAUGCCUUACACCUUA
rnacentral:tRNA from 1 species